rnacentral:rRNA from 1 species
AUGAACGCUGGCGGCGUGUCUCAUACCUGCAAGUCGAGCGAACAGACGAGGAGCUUGCUCCUCUGACGUUAGCGGCGGACGGGUGAGUAACACGUGGAUAACCUACCUAUAAGACUGGGAUAACUUCGGGAAACCGGAGCUAAUACCGGAUAAUAUAUUGAACCGCAUGGUUCAAUAGUGAAAGACGGUUUUGCUGUCACUUAUAGAUGGAUCCGCGCCGCAUUAGCUAGUUGGUAAGGUAACGGCUUACCAAGGCAACGAUGCGUAGCCGACCUGAGAGGGUGAUCGGCCACACUGGAACUGAGACACGGUCCAGACUCCUACGGGAGGCAGCAGUAGGGAAUCUUCCGCAAUGGGCGAAAGCCUGACGGAGCAACGCCGCGUGAGUGAUGAAGGUCUUCGGAUCGUAAAACUCUGUUAUUAGGGAAGAACAAAUGUGUAAGUAACUAUGCACGUCUUGACGGUACCUAAUCAGAAAGCCACGGCUAACUACGUG